CAGCAGUGGGGAAUUUUGGGCAAUGGGCGAAAGCCUGACCCAGCAACGCCGCGUGGAGGACGAAGGUUUUCGGAUCGUAAACUCCUGUCUAGAGGGACGAAGUAAGUGACGGUACCUCUGGAGGAAGCCCCGGCUAACUCCGUGCCAGCAGCCGCGGUAAUACGGGGGGGGCGAGCGUUGUUCGGAAUUACUGGGCGUAAAGGGCGCGUAGGCGGUAUUGGAAGUCAUGGGUGAAAGUCCUCGGCUCAACCGAGGGAUUGCCUGUGAAACCACAGUACUGGAGUGCUGGAGAGGGAAGUGGAAUUCCCAGUGUAGCGGUGAAAUGCGUAGAUAUUGGGAGGAACACCUGUGGCGAAGGCGGCUUCCUGGACAGACACUGACGCUGAGGCGCGAAAGCCAGGGGAGCGAACGGGAUUAGA
rnacentral:rRNA from 1 species